UUUGCACCCAGACCCAAAGGUCACAUGAUCCCGAUGGUGUGAUUUUGCCUGGUGUGCAGAAAGCAAACGUCAUCCUUGUCGCCUUUCUCUGAUGCUGCAGUGCCGGUGAAAGUGAAUUCAAGGACGGACAUGU